CACAAAAUUAGCUUGAAUGUGGUUAUACACCUAGCAAAUCCUUUUGAAGCUCAUGAAGCAGUCAUGCUUAUGAAAUGAUACCAAUCUUUACUGUCGUUACCGAGAGGCAGCAUCGAGUACUCACCGGAAAAUGGACGCCGGAGCUAAAAUUGAUGUGGUUGAGGCGGUGGAGGACGAUUCGGCGGCGGGAGCUGGUCCGGACCAAGACCACGGUGAAAGAUCGGAGUCGUCGUCGUUGAAACAAGGGGAUAUUUUGAGAACCCUUGCUACGGUGGAGAAAGAUUCUCAGGCAAUCGCGGAGAGCUUUGCGUCUCUCUUUGUUUCUCUCCGACCAACACUCUCUGAGGCUACUGGAAGCUCCGUUGAUCACAUGAGUUGCUUUGGAGAUGCAGCAGGAAGGCUUCAGGAAAGUGCUUUAGAUGUAGCUACCAAAGGGAACCGUUACAUCAACUCUUGCCUCAGAUUAAAGGAGGAAAUUAAAGGCGUUGAGAAUUUGGCGGCUCGGUUAAAGCACCUGCGGAGAAAUGUGGAUGUUCUUGACACAGCUGUGAACAAGCUUCUCCGGCCUCCAUAAGAAGUCAUCAGUUUCUUUCAAAGAGUUGAGUCAUUUUAGCUUUUUCUUUUACAGACUUGUAUCAUUUACUUCUCGUACAUAAAGAUUUUGAUUUUCCCAAUCAAGGAUGGCAUAUACAUUAAGACGAUAAACAACUCUCUGUUCUUCAAGGAUCUUCUAAACAGUUCUAGAAAUGCAAAGCUUCAUCAUGGUUAUAGUCUGAAUCAUGGCGGCUUUCACCAAAACAGAGAACGCGACGCAAGCACAUAAUAAACCCUCCCAGUUUUGUAAGCAGUAUAACAGAACAAGAGAGUUUCAUAGAGCAAGAGACCGACCUGAUUUGUUGGCGCCCGAGAGCUUGCAACGUUAUCUGGAAACAAGAUUGGAGCAGUUGAAAGUUUCUACUGAGCUUGGACUUUGGAAGGAAGCUUUUCGUACUGCCGAAGAUAUAUGUGGAUUAAUGUGCGUGGUCAAGGAAACGCCUAAUUCAUCUUUAUUGGUGGUU